GUAAGUCCUUCCAAAGAUGAAUGAGGGUCAUGUUGUGGUUUAACCCGGCAGGAGGCUGAGCGCUACACAGUCCUUUGUUUGCUCCCCUCCUUCCCAGGGGGAUGGGGGAGAGAAUUGGAAAAAACUCCUUCCACAUGGUGUCAUGUGGUAUGGAAUAUACCUUUAGCCAGUUGAAGUCAGCUGUCCUAAUUCUGCUCCCUCCCAGCUUCUUGGAACCUUCACUGCAAACGGCCUUGGCUCUGCACAGCACUGCUUUGCAGCACUGUAAACAUCAGUGUGUUAUCAACAUUGUUUUUCUCCCAGGACCAAAACAGAGCAGCAUACCAGACACUCUGAAUAAACAAUUCCGUCCCAGCUGAAGCAAAGACAGGUCACUGCUAGGGGGAAAAAAGAAUUCACCUUGCUUUCAAUCUGCAUUUGUUUAACUUCAGCUUUCAGACCACCUGAAGGGAGCAGCUCUAAAUGCUUCAGGGCGUGUGGUUGAACAGACUCCAACUACCAAGAUGGAGAAGCUGAAGUGGAUCACACUGGUCAGGGCAGCUGGAGGAUUCGCUCUGCUCCUUGUACUGGCUGAGCCCCCCAGGGAUACUGAGCUCCAGAGUGGGAUGCAGGGGUCCAGGCUGUGGUCAGGAGCUUCAUAGUCAUCACACAGAUGUGGAAAACUCCCCAGGCCUGCAGGCUGGAAACAAGACCACAGAGAGCUGCACUGAUAUCACAUGCAAGGUAGGAGACAGCUUCAGAAGCUUUUCAGUGCAAACCUCUGGUACCUGAGAGCUUGCCUGCACUGAGCUGACCCUAACACCAUUCUGUCAAGGUGAAGGAACAAAGGUAAGGCAGAAAGAGUACUUCUUGCACUUCCAUUUUAGUGUAGAACAGCCCUGGGUCCUCUAAAAACGCAGGGUUGGAUGAGAUGGCUGCAUCCAGGUGCUCCGCAGCUGCGACCAAAGGGAAGAUCUUCCUAAUCACAUCUGCAAUUUGUUGACAUAUAUGUUGCCACUGUAAGAAGCCAUAUCCCUUCAAAAUCCUCUGUCUGAUGUUAACUCAUCCUGUUUGAAUCCCGGGCAGCCCAUUCCCUUG
ensembl:lncRNA